rnacentral:rRNA from 1 species
AUUGAACGCUGGCGGCAUGCUUUACACAUGCAAGUCGAACGGUAACAGGUUAAGCUGACGAGUGGCGAACGGGUGAGUAAUGCAUCGGAACGUGCCCGAUCGUGGGGGAUAACACUUCGAAAGAAGUGCUAAUACCGCAUACGAUCUGAGGAUGAAAGCGGGGGACCGUAAGGCCUCGCGCGAUCGGAGCGGCCGAUGUCAGAUUAGGUAGUUGGUGGGGUAAAGGCUCACCAAGCCGACGAUCUGUAGCUGGUCUGAGAGGACGACCAGCCACACUGGGACUGAGACACGGCCCAGACUCCUACGGGAGGCAGCAGUGGGGAAUUUUGGACAAUGGGCGCAAGCCUGAUCCAGCAAUGCCGCGUGCAGGAAGAAGGCCUUCGGGUUGUAAACUGCUUUUGUACGGAGCGAAAAGGCUCCCUCUAAUACAGGGGGCUCAUGACGGUACCGUAAGAAUAAGCACCGGCUAACUACGUGCCAGCAGCCGCCGUAAGAC